UCUCUGAUGUUUCCCUGAUCUCCUCCUAUAUAUGGAGCAAAAUAUAACCAGAGUGCCGCAAGGUUACUGAUUUGUUAACACGGUUAUUCUAUAAACCAUGUCAUAUUAAUUCAAAUAUCAUCAUCUGCCUGCAAUUUAGCCCUUGAAUCUAAACUGAAGGAGAGAUGGUGUUUUGACUUAAUAGGAAAGGUUUAAUGAGUUUGUAUGCUUUGGUGUGUAGGGUUCUAAAUCUACUGGGUGUGAAUUGCCUCUUCUUUCAGUUGCAAGAUCUGAGAUCUUUGGAUCGAUUACUUGACAACUUUGUUCUGGGGGCAUAUAUUUAUUUUUUGACCAAAAUCUUUGGGGUACUCUCAAUUGUCCAGAUUUACGGUUUUUCUGUUCUUCUGGAUCCCAUGUUUUGGUUACAUUUCCAGAUCUAGGGUUUAAUCAUUUCAGAAUAAUAUUUGUUGUGAUUAAGGUUGAUUUUUGGUUUGUUUAUUUUCUUUUAUUAUAUUAUUAUUGUUUAGUUAAUGAUUAUUGUUUGUUUUGCGUCC
rnacentral:lncRNA from 1 species